rnacentral:rRNA from 1 species
AAAACAUAGCCCUAGAAAUAAUCUAAGGUGUAACCUGCCCAGUGGCCUCUCAGUUUAAAGUUGAAAUGCUUGAAAAAAGGCUAAAAGGACGCGGUAACCUUGACCGUGGUAAUGUAGCAUAAUCACUCGCCAUUUAAUUGAUGGAUAGUAUGAAUGGUUGAACGAAUAUUCCACUGUCUUAGAAAGAAUUAAAUAAAAUUGAAAUAAUAGUUAAGAUGCUAUUUUUAACUGUAAGACGAAAAGACCCUAUAGAGCUUAACUAUAGUCUUUAUGUUAUUUAAGAAUAUUAUUUCUAAACUCAUAAAGAUUGGUAGUUUAGUUGGGGCGACUGUCUUCUAAAUUAAACGAAGACAAGCAAUGUAAUAAAUAUGCUUAUUGUAUAAUGCAAUCAUUUAACAAUUACUAAAGUAGGCUAUAAUGACCCGUUGACUCACAAUAAAAUGGUUAACGAUCAAUUGAUAAAAGCUACCUUAGGGAUAACAGGAUAAUUUUAUCUUAGAGUUCCCAUCGAAGAUAAAGUUUGUCACCUCUAUGUUGAAUUAAGAUAUCCUGGUAAUGCAGCAGU